rnacentral:lncRNA from 1 species
AGUCAUUUUGCUUUAGAGCCUCUACUUCUUACCUGGAGGUAGAUAAGGGGACAUGACAUCUUCAGCCAUCAGAGAUUUUAGCAUCAGAGAUGGUUAUUAUCUUCAAAACACACGAGUGAAGAGCAUUCAGCUCAGCUGUGAAGACCUUUCCUAGCAUGCCCAGGGACGAGGGUUUCAUCACGCACUAUAAAUAUAAAAAUGCUACAGCUUGAGGUGAACAUGAUCAAAGUGUGCUCCAAAGUGUAUAAAAUCGUCUCCGUGGAGCCCACUGGAGUAUAAAGUCAGUCGUACUAAGAAUUAAAAAUGGACGAUAUAACGCAUUCAGGCUUCUUCCUCUGGGUCCUUGUAUGACAAGCA